rnacentral:rRNA from 1 species
UACGUAGGGUGCGAGCGUUGUCCGGAAUUAUUGGGCGUAAAGGGCUCGUAGGCGGUCUGUUGCGUCGGGAGUGAAAACUCAGGGCUUAACCCUGAGCCUGCUUCCGAUACGGGCAGACUAGAGGUAUGCAGGGGAGAACGGAAUUCCCGGUGUAGCGGUGAAAUGCGCAGAUAUCGGGAGGAACACCGGUGGCGAAGGCGGUUCUCUGGGCCGUAACUGACGCUGAGGAGCGAAAGCGUGGGGAGCGAACAGG